UAACCCGAUUCGGCGCGCACGGGACGCGUCCGUCGACGUCCGCGGACGGCGUGCACUUCUCUCUCAGUAAUGCAUCGCGACCCGUUCGAGGUCGGCCUAAGCGCCAUCCGGGAGAACGGCGCGGUUAGCUCACGCUCUCCGCGCCGUACCGCGUAGGCCGCCGGCCGGCCUUUUCGGACGGUAUUGUGUAUAUUUUUAUACGCUUCAAUGGCGAAUCGCGCACGCGUUCACACGCGCGUCCGGCCCGACGCAAGCCUGCGUCCGCAGCCGAUGUCCUGCCCGUGCGCGGACGUCGACUCGGCGCUGCUGCAAUGUCGCUGCCGUGCAGUCUCGGACUGUGCGCGUCUCUGUCUGCGAUGAUUCUGUUUCGGGCACUCGCAGGACCCGUCUUGAAACACGGACCAAGGAGUCUAGCAUGUGUGCGAGUCAUUGGGUUCGAAUUUCGAAUUUGACAAAACCGAAAGGCGCAACGAAAGUGAAGGCGCGCGCUCGCCGCGCGCUCAGGGAGGAUGGAGCCUCGGUCUCGAUCGAACUCCCGCACUCCCGAGGCGUCUCGUUUCCAAUCAGUGAAUGCAGGCGCGCUCUGAGCACAGAUGCUGGGACCCGAAAGAUGGUGAACUAUGCCUGGUCAGGUUUAAGUCAGGGGAAACCCUGAUGGAGGACCGUAGCGAUUCUGACGUGCAAAUCGAUCGUCGGAACUGGGUAUAGGGGCGAAAGACUAAUCGAACCAUCUAG
rnacentral:rRNA from 1 species